UUCAUAAUUAACAGAGGGAUAUAAGGCUACCUACAGGUUCAUAAUUAACAGAGGGAUAUAAGGCUACCUACAGGUUCAUAAUUAACAGAGGGAUAUAAGCUACCUAUAGGUUCAUAAUUAACAGAGGAAUAAGGCUACCUACAGGUUCAUAAUUAACAGAGAGAUAUAAGGCUACCUACAGGUUCAUAAUUAACAGAGGGAUAUAAGGCUACCUACAGGUUCAUAAUUAACAGA